rnacentral:rRNA from 1 species
GACGAACGCUGGCGGCGUGCCUAAUACAUGCAAGUCGAGCGGGGAUUAUGCUUGAUCGCUUCGGUGAGACGGCAUAUAUCCUAGCGGCGGACGGGUGAGUAACGCGUGGGUAAUCUACCUCGUAGUUCGGGAUAACAGGCCGAAAGGCUUGCUAAUACCGGAUGAGUUCAUGCUUAUGCAUAUAGGCAUGAAGAAAGGGCUAGCCCGCUAUGAGAUGAGCCCGCGUCCCAUUAGCUUGUUGGUGGGGUAAUGGCCUACCAAGGCAACGAUGGGUAGCCGGCCUGAGAGGGUGUACGGCCACACUGGGACUGAGACACGGCCCAGACUCCUACGGGGGGCAGCAGUAGGGAAUUUUCGGCAAUGGGCGAAAGCCUGACCGAGCGACGCCGCGUGAGGGACGAAGGCCUUCGGUUGGUAAACCUCUGUCUGGGGGAUGAGAACGGACGGUACCCCGGACGGAAGCCCGGCUAACUACGUGCCAGCAGCCGCGGUAAAAUAGCGUACCU